rnacentral:rRNA from 1 species
AAGCCGGUAGCAAUACUGGUGAGUAAAGUGGCGACCGGGUGAGUAACACGUGGAUAACCUACCCUUGAAUGGGGAAUAACCCUGGGAAACCGGGGCUAAUACCGCAUAACAUCCCGGAACGACGGUUCUGGAAUUGAAACCUGGCAACGGGGUUCAUGGAGGGGUCCGCGGCUGAUUAGCUAGUUGGUGAGGUAACGGCCCACCAAGGCUUUGAUCGGUAGCCGGCCUGAGAGGGCGGACGGCCACACUGGAACUGAAACACGGUCCAGACUCCUACGGGAGGCAGCAGUGGGGAAUUUUGCGCAAUGGGGGAAACCCUGACGCAGCAACGCCGCGUGGACGAUGAAGCAUCUUGGU